UACGUAGGGGGCUAGCGUUGUCCGGAAUCAUUGGGCGUAAAGAGCGUGUAGGCGGCCAGGUAGGUCUGCUGUGAAAACUCGAGGCUCAACCUCGAGACGUCGGCGGAAACCAUCUGGCUAGAGUCCGGAAGAGGAGAGUGGAAUUCCUGGUGUAGCGGUGAAAUGCGCAGAUAUCAGGAGGAACACCGGUGGCGAAGGCGGAUCUCUGGGCCUUACCUGACGCUGAGGCGCGAAAGCUAGGGGAGCGAACAGG
rnacentral:rRNA from 1 species